CCUACGGGAGGCUGCAGUGGGGAAUAUUGGACAAUGGGGGGAACCCUGAUCCAGCCAUGCCGCGUGUGUGAAGAAGGCCCUCGGGUUGUAAAGCACUUUCAGUGAGGAAGAACGCCUGGUGGUUAAUACCCAUCAGGAAAGACAUCACUCACAGAAGAAGCACCGGCUAACUCCGUGCCAGCAGCCGCGGUAAUACGGAGGGUGCGAGCGUUAAUCGGAAUUACUGGGCGUAAAGCGCGCGUAGGUGGCUUGAUAAGCCGGUUGUGAAAGCCCCGGGCUCAACCUGGGAACGGCAUCCGGAACUGUCAAGCUAGAGUGCAGGAGAGGAAGGUAGAAUUCCCGGUGUAGCGGUGAAAUGCGUAGAGAUCGGGAGGAAUACCAGUGGCGAAGGCGGCCUUCUGGACUGCCACUGACACUGAGGUGCGAAAGCGUGGGUAGCAAACAGGAUUAGAUACCCCGGUAGUC
rnacentral:rRNA from 1 species